AUUGAACGCUGGCGGCAUGCCUUACACAUGCAAGUCGAGCGCGAAAGGGGGCAACCCCGAGUAGAGCGGCGGACGGGUGAGUAACGCAUCGGAACGUGCCCAGUAGUGGGGGACAACCUCGAGAAAUCGAGGCUAAUACCGCAUACGACCUACGGGUGAAAGCGGGGGACCGCAAGGCCCCGCGCUAUUGGAGCGGCCGAGGUCCGAUUAGCUAGUUGGCGGGGUAAGAGCCCACCAAGGCGACGAUCGGUAGCUGGUCUGAGAGGACGAACCGCCCGACUGGGACUGAGCCACGGACCAGACUCCGGGGGGAGGCGGCAGGGGGGAAUUUUGGACAAUGGGGGCAACCCUGCUCCAGCCAUGCCGCGUGCGGGAAGAAGGCCUUCGGGUUGUAAACCGCUUUCGGCCGGAACGAAAUCGCCCGGGUGAACAUCCCGGGUGGAUGACGGUACCGGAAGAAGAAGCACCGGCUAACUACGUGCCAGCCGCCGCAGUAACAC
rnacentral:rRNA from 1 species